rnacentral:rRNA from 1 species
GAUGAACGCUGGCGGCGUGCUUAACACAUGCAAGUCGAACGAUGAAGCCCAGCUUGCUGGGUGGAUUAGUGGCGAACGGGUGAGUAACACGUGAGUAACCUGCCCUUAACUCUGGGAUAAGCCUGGGAAACUGGGUCUAAUACCGGAUAGGAGCGUCCACCGCAUGGUGGGUGUUGGAAAGAUUUAUCGGUUUUGGAUGGACUCGCGGCCUAUCAGCUUGUUGGUGAGGUAAUGGCUCACCAAGGCGACGACGGGUAGCCGGCCUGAGAGGGUGACCGGCGACACUGGGACUGAGACAAGGCCCAGACUCCUACGGGAGGCAGCGGUGGGGAAUAUUGCACAAUGGGCGCAAGCCUGAUGCAGCGACGCCGCGUGAGGGAUGACGGCCUUCGGGUUGUAAACCUCUUUCAGUAGGGAAGAAGCGAAAGUGACGGUACCUGCAGAAGAAGCACCGGCUAACUACGUG